rnacentral:lncRNA from 1 species
ACGCAGACCUGUCUCUCAAAACGCUGGACUUCCGUCGCGUUUCUGCCGUAACGCUUGUUUCUUCUCUCUUCGUGAAUCUCCCGACCCGAAGAAGUCUCCACUGUUCGAACUCAAGUCACCAAAUCGGAGCCAAAACGCGGUUUUCGUCAAUAUACCGGCGAGAACCGCUUCGAUACUUCUAGAAGCUGCGGUUAGGAUACAGAAACAGAGUUCAGAAGUGUCUAAAACAAGAACACGAAACGCCGGAAACGCGUUUGGUAUAUUCGGGUCAGUUUUAAAGAAGCUAACGAACCGGAAGAAACGCGAAAUCAGCGGCGGUAAAGACGUUGGUCGCGUUUCAUCUUCCUCGGUGAAAGAUAUGUUGAGAUGGGAAUCUCCGGUCGUACGUAAAAUAGUCACAAGAAAAUCUAAACGCAAAGCAGAAGAAGAAAACGCUUCCUCCCAAACGCAUAAAAUCGCGUCUGAAACGCAGUUCUCACGGAGGUCAAGUAGUAGUGGCGUUUGGUCAGAGAAUGUCACCAACGGAGAGAGAUCUUGGGACGUUGAUUUCGAAACGUCCAUUAGCACGAGCAGCCGAUCUAACGGUUCAGAUGAGUUUGCGAUGAUGAUGAACGGUCAAGAUUUAUCCGAAGAUAAACGUUUUUGUGAAAGCCCGUUUCAUUUUGUUCUCCAAACAACAAUGCCUUCUAACGGCGGUUUCAGAACGCCGAAUUUCUCAUCACCUGCGGCUUCUCCACGCUACGAUUGUCAAGAGGUUGGUCUUUUUCUACAAUUAAUUAUUUAAUAAUGAUUACAUUAUUGAUCAUAUUCGUUAGUUAGACCUUAGAAGAAAUUGGAAAAAAAGUUGAUGUACAAUAAUUUACUAAACAUUAAUAUUUUACUUAGAUUUGAAAAGACAAAACUAUAGCUGUGUUUCCAAAAAAAGGUAACAGAAGUUAAAUUAAUGACUUGUUUGACUCGUCUGAAUUAGUGACAAAGUAAGAAUGAUCAUAGUCAAUGGCAAAAGUACCCCGCAAACUCAUCGUUUGGUUGUUUUCGAAGAUGCAAUAACAGUUGAAGACAAAUGUAUUUUCGUCUUUUCGAAAAUUACCUCAGCCUUUUGUGUUGUUGAAAACAAAGUUGAUCUCUGUUUCUGACAUGCAAAUCUUACUCUCAUGUUUUUGUGUUUUUGGUUUUUGUCUACCAAAAUUAUUUAACAUUAGAGUCCAAAAAUCUGUCUCUGUCUGUGUAUUUCCAUCAAUCUACAAAUAACAAGUCAAAUUAGCAUCUAAACUUGAAGUAAAUUAUUCAUUCUAAAGUACUUAAUUUUGUAUAAAACAGAUGAAGGACAGUUAUGAGGUAGAGAAGCUAAAGAAACUUGAAAUGGAGGAAGAGGAAGAAGAAAAAGAACAGAGCAGCCCAGUUUCAGUUUUGGACCCUCCAUUUCAGGACGAUGACGAAGACAUUCACAUGGAUGACAAUAACAUCCCUUCCAGCUUCAGAUCUGUACAAAGUACGUUUUCGAACUACUCUUUUGUCUCUAAAUUUUCCAAGCUUUUUUUUCAUUUAAUUCCAUCUUACCAAACUAUUGAUUCCUCUUUAAAUGGUUAUAGAACUGUUGUACGGAUGAUCUGUUUUUGAAACAGAACAGUAGCACGUUCGUGC